rnacentral:lncRNA from 1 species
CCGAGGGUAAGGGUCUACUCAAGUGCUUGCUGGUUAUGUUUUUGAUAGAUUUCUUUGUGUUAUUCUUUGCUGCGGAAAUUGCAUUGAUUGAAAGUUGUAAUUUGUUGAAACCUUUUGAGUGUUUGAGUCUCGGGAGGUAAGACUUGUCCCCCUUCCACCAGUGUCCUGCUCUGCCAAUUAGAAAAAGUUUCCAUCUCGCCCUUGAUUAACCCAGAAAAUGGGCAAGUCAGUCGAACACACAUAGCUAUUGCGAUUCCUUGCUUGAUUAAUUCGAGAUCCCAGUAAUCAACUUUUCGGCCAGAGCUUAGAUCCUUGAGAUGUCCUUAGAGUCGUUUUGCGGUUGCACGCUUCCCUUCUUCAUCUCCGACGGAGCCCGUCCGUAGACCCUUCUGCGGUUAGACCACACUCAUGUGCCCCAUAAUCUCGUUUCGCUGACCAAAAUGACCGACAUCCCCAGGGGGUGGGGUUAGGAUUCAGACAUGGAAAGGGCGUUCUGGCGUUAUGUAAUCCAAUGCUCUCUCGUUUUCAUUUAUUACUCGUACAGCUGCACCCUUACCCUCAGCCUCCACCGCCGCCUUACCCUUCCGUCGUCAUGGAAGACUAAAGCCCGGAGGCCGAGUCUCGGGCUGAUUGAGCUUGAGUGAUGGCAACAGUUGGCAUGAUUGAAUGCUGUCUUCGGCCCCGGGAGGGAACCAAUCUGCUGGACAUAUGAAUUAUUGCCUUGGCAAUGACGAAUUCUUGGCAAAUUAGGCAAAUAAUUCAAAGUAAUUAAGAGCAGUUCACAGUUCACAGUCCACGGCAUUAGUCACAGCACCUUAAAAUUCCAUCAACCCUUCGUUGCGAGCCCUCGAAAUGGUCACGCAAAGUGCCCAUUGGAGAGGCCAUUUCCAUAAUGCCAGUCCGAUGAGCACUUGGCACUCCAUAAUAAUGAAAUUAUGAGUGCUUAUGACCAUCCAGGGAUAUCAAAUGGCGCACCCAACAUCUUUCCCAAUCCCUUCAAUUGCCACAACUACUUUGGUGGCAGCUUUCACUCACUGACACAGAUGGUGUCCCCUAUCCGCUUUUCUUGGUUGGAAAACUGCUGCUCCUUUGUCGGUCGUCGGGUCAGACGCUAGCCAUUAGUCUGUUGGCUCGUCCACACAACAAGGAAUCCAUUUCCGAUAUUGGGUGAUAAAAUUUUAUGAAUGUAAUUUGCAGCGAUUUGUUGCGUCGUCUCUGACUGGUCUCGAAACGUCCCUUGCUGGGGUUGUACCGGAUAGUGGAAGGGUUGGGCGGGUGCCUGCGUGUGUCAUUGCCAAAUUGUUAUUGACAACAUGAUGGGAGACUCGUAAAUACUUAUCUAAAUAUCCGAAUAUUUACGAAUAUCUUCGAAUGUAAUGUGUAAUGUGGCAGCAGGGUCAGACGCUUGCAUUUUCGCUAAAUUAUUAAAAGCAUUUGCGUAACGACAUUCCAACGGGUUGAAAGCCAAGUAGAGUUUGCCUUUUACGCUACGUUUUCAAAUGCAAAGAUGUUGAUUUUUUAACGCAAUUAUGACUUAGGAAUAGUCGCAAUAAAAGCAGCGUGGGCGUGGCUUGAUGUGCUACUGAGGCACCGACAAUUAAAUAAACUUUUGUUUACUUUCCAAUAUUCUGCAAUUCUUGCUGCCUUGUGCUGAUUUAGAAAAGACGAUUUAAUUGAAGAGUUGUUAUCUUUAACAAUUUACUGCAGCUGCAUGUUGACGUGCUAAUCGCAAUGACCUGACGCGGGGGCGUAAAGCUAGCAGCGCCAUUACUGCUCCGCUCGAAAUUAUAUAUUUUUUUUAGCAAUGUGUGUUUG